rnacentral:tRNA from 1 species
ACUUUAAGAGUAUCCCCGUACAUUUGUCUUCCACACAAAAAGCUUGGCACCGCCAAAUAAAGUA